CAAGCUAUCGUCAUAGAAUCAACAACAGCAGCUUCCACAACAGCUGAGACAAACACUCCAGAAGAUGCAUCAACACUCGCCACAGAGGCAUCAACAGCAGAAUCAACAACAGAGGAGAAAACCACCACUGAAAAAUUAACAACACCACAAAC